GAGCAAAGUGAAGGAAAAUGAGACACCAGCUGCUGAAGAACAGAAAGAAGAAAAAGAAAGAAAGAAAAAAAGAAAACACAACAAAGAGAGAGAGAAAAAGAGCAGCGAAUGCUGCUGUGCAUGUAAGAGACGCUUGAGAGGGCAGGAGCAUCGUGGAUCAGUGCAGCGUCCAGGCUGGGACAUCGGGCAAGGCGAGAGGGAGCACGGAGCACGGGGACUCUGCGUGUGCCACCCAUCCCCAGAGCUGUCCCACGCGAUGCAGUGACACGGCACAGGGACAACACAGCUGCCGUCUGUCCUGCAGAAGGUUGACUUUUCCCAUAUUCUUCCUUUCACGUGCUGGACCAUACAAGACCACCUGGCUGCCCAAGACACACGACAGACCCAGCCCCACUGUUCUCCUUACUUGCAGGUAAGAGUUAACUCUUCCUCACAAGCUCUGCAUGCCCCUCAGCUGUGUACAUUGAAGGCAAGCAUCAGAUUUCCAAAAACAUUCCAGGACUGAUCCUCCAGAGACUAUA
rnacentral:lncRNA from 1 species